AUGGGAUUGAUCCCUCUGAAUUAUAGGAGUUAAUGCAUCAUUAUAUUUUAAUUUAGUAAAAUCUUGGUCAGGAUAAUUCAUACGAUGGAUUUGAAAGAUUGAAAUACGAUGUGGAUGACUAUUUCAGGAUCGACAGUUAAAUCCUAGGUCACCUUGAGCAUUAGGAUCAAAGAGAUGAAUUAUGCAGUAACCAUAUGUCGAGAUUCUUGAAUAUUAUUUUGUAAUUAU
rnacentral:lncRNA from 1 species